rnacentral:rRNA from 1 species
CGCCUACGGGAGGCAGCAGUGGGGAAUAUUGGGCAAUGGGCGCAAGCCUGACCCAGCAACGCCGCGUGAAGGAAGAAGGCUUUCGGGUUGUAAACUUCUUUUAUGAGGGACGAAAGAAAUGACGGUACCUCAUGAAUAAGCCACGGCUAACUACGUGCCAGCAGCCGCGGUAAUACGUAGGGAGCAAGCGUUGUCCGGAAUUACUGGGCGUAAAGGGCGCGUAGGUGGGCGCUUAAGUCAGGUGUGAAAACUCCGGGCUCAACCUGGAGACUGCACUUGAAACUGGGUGUCUUGAGGGCAGGAGG